AGUUGGGCAAAUAACCAGAACUUUCUCAGUCCUGAGAGAAUUGAGCAUGACAGUCCGAUGAGAUUGUCUGGUCACCCAUCGAAUGGUGGACCAAUGGACGUGGAGGGAUGGUCAGGAAUUCAAACAGAGGGUAAUGGUAAUUUUCAAAAGAUGGGGUUCUUCCAAGGACAACAUGCAGGUUGGAACGGGGCUUUGGGAGUCCCUUCUACUCCUCUUGUAAAGAGAGUAAUCAGAUUGGAUGUUCCAGUCGACCAGUUCCCUACCUAUAACUUCGUUGGCCGCUUGUUGGGACCACGAGGGAACUCCUUGAAAAGAGUCGAAGCCUCAACCCAAUGCAGAGUUUACAUACGAGGUCGGGGUUCAGUCAAAGACACUGUUAAGGAGGACAAAUUAAGAGACAAACCCGGCUAUGAACACCUAAACGAACCACUGCAUGUCCUCGUGGAGGCUGAGUUUCCAGCAG
rnacentral:misc_RNA from 1 species